CAGGUCUCGCUUUAUUUUCUUCUACCCUUUUCGUCUCUGUUGAUAUGGGAUUCUUCUCGAUCACGGUAAGCCUGUGAGCUAGGUCUCUUUGCGAUGCUUCUGAUGUGAUUAAGUUCAGUUGUUGGAGGUCCUUUUACCUUCUCCCUCGCAUAGGGUCGGUUGUGAUUUGGGUAACUGAGAUCAAGGAUUCGAGCACGGGAGAAGGUUUGGGAAUUUGAUCAGGAUCACCAAAGAUGGCUCGCAGUUGCUGAGUUUGCUUUACCUGAGGAAAAGGGCAAUCCGAUUUAUGCUGUUGCUUAGGCACCAAAUAUUUUCAGGCCAUACGAGGUAAUAGCAACUGGGACUCACAAGCGAAUUGCAAUAUGGCACCUUGGAUUCAACCCCAAUCUUGAUGGAAAGCUCUAACGGAAAAGGUUUGGAAGAUGGAGUUGAACAUCGGUGGAAUGACACUAGCAACCACCGGAGGUGAUGGCGUGGUGAGUUUGUGACAGUCUAACUUAAAAGGCGUUUGUCUACAUGCCACAGCGACAUGGAAGGAGAUGAAUCCGUGAAGCCUCUGAAACACAAAGACAAGAAAGAAUAGUGCUCCCACCUAAUGCCAUCACGGAAUCUUAGCAAAAUAGACAUCAAGGCAAAUUUUUGGUGUGAAUAAUUUGCAAGUUACCACUAUGUCAAUUUUCAAUGCAUAGGCAUCAUCUAGCAUAUGUACAAAUCUUUUGCUUUAGCUACUGAACUUUGAAAUUAUUCAAGUACUUGUAAAUUUUGAUAAAUCACUUUUGCGCA